GUAGGUGGCAAGCGUUGUCCGGAAUUAUUGGGCGUAAAGCGCGCGCAGGCGGUUCUUUAAGUCUGAUGUGAAAGCCCACGGCUCAACCGUGGAGGGUCAUUGGAAACUGGAGAACUUGAGUACAGAAGAGGAAAGCGGAAUUCAACGUGUAGCGGUGAAAUGCGUAGAGAUGUGGAGGAACACCAGUGGCGAAGGCGGCUUUCUGGUCUGUAACUGACGCUGAGGCGCGAAAGGCGUGGGAAGCAAACAGGAUUACGAUACCCUGGUAGUCCACGCCGUAAACGAUGAGUGCUAAGUGUUAGGGGUUUCCGCCCCUUAGUGCUGCAGCUAACGCAUUAAGCACUCCGCCUGGGAGUACGGCCGCAAGGCUG
rnacentral:rRNA from 1 species